UCCUCUUCAGUUGAUUUGGAUUGUGGAUU
rnacentral:piRNA from 1 species